rnacentral:tRNA from 1 species
GCUGAUAUAGCUCAGGAGAGUGCUUGCCUGGCAUGCACAAGGCCCUGGGUUCAAUCCCCAGCACCACCA